AUUGAACGCUGGCGGCAUGCUUUACACAUGCAAGUCGAACGGUAACAGGCCGCAAGGUGCUGACGAGUGGCGAACGGGUGAGUAAUGCAUCGGAACGUGCCCAGUCGUGGGGGAUAACUACUCGAAAGAGUAGCUAAUACCGCAUACGAUCUAUGGAUGAAAGCGGGGGACCGUAAGGCCUCGCGCGAUUGGAGCGGCCGAUGUCAGAUUAGGUAGUUGGUGGGGUAAAGGCUCACCAAGCCAACGAUCUGUAGCUGGUCUGAGAGGACGACCAGCCACACUGGGACUGAGACACGGCCCAGACUCCUACGGGAGGCAGCAGUGGGGAAUUUUGUACAAUGGGCGCAAGCCUGAUCCAGCAAUGCCGCGUGCAGGAAGAAGGCCUUCGGGUUGUAAACUGCUUUUGUACGGAACGAAACGGCUCUGGUUAAUACCCGGGGCUAAUGACGGUACCGUAAGAAUAAGCACCGGCUAACUACGUG
rnacentral:rRNA from 1 species